AGAGUUUGAUCAUGGCUCAGAUUGAACGCUGGCGGCAGGCCUAACACAUGCAAGUCGAACGGUAACAGGAAGAAGCUUGCUUCUUUGCUGACGAGUGGCGGACGGGUGAGUAAUGUCUGGGAAACUGCCUGAUGGAGGGGGAUAACUACUGGAAACGGUAGCUAAUACCGCAUAACGUCGCAAGACCAAAGAGGGGGACCUUCGGGCCUCUUGCCAUCGGAUGUGCCCAGAUGGGAUUAGCUUGUUGGUGGGGUAACGGCUCACCAAGGCGACGAUCCCUAGCUGGUCUGAGAGGAUGACCAGCCACACUGGAACUGAGACACGGUCCAGACUCCUACGGGAGGCAGCAGUGGGGAAUAUUGCACAAUGGGCGCAAGCCUGAUGCAGCCAUGCCGCGUGUAUGAAGAAGGCCUUCGGGUUGUAAAGUACUUUCAGCGGGGAGGAAGGGAGUAAAGUUAAUACCUUUGCUCAUUGACGUUACCCGCAGAAGAAGCACCGGCUAACUCCGUGCCAGCAGCCGCGGUAAUACGGAGGGUGCAAGCGUUAAUCGGAAUUACUGGGCGUAAAGCGCACGCAGGCGGUUUGUUAAGUCAGAUGUGAAAUCCCCGGGCUCAACCUGGGAACUGCAUCUGAUACUGGCAAGCUUGAGUCUCGUAGAGGGGGUAGAAUUCCAGGUGUAGCGGUGAAAUGCGUAGAGAUCUGGAGGAAUACCGGUGGCGAAGGCGGCCCCCUGGACGAAGACUGACGCUCAGGUGCGAAAGCGUGGGGAGCAAACAGGAUUAGAUACCCUGGUAGUCCACGCCGUAAACGAUGUCGACUUGGAGGUUGUGCCCUUGAGGCGUGGCUUCCGGAGCUAACGCGUUAAGUCGACCGCCUGGGGAGUACGGCCGCAAGGUUAAAACUCAAAUGAAUUGACGGGGGCCCGCACAAGCGGUGGAGCAUGUGGUUUAAUUCGAUGCAACGCGAAGAACCUUACCUGGUCUUGACAUCCACAGAACUUUCCAGAGAUGGAUUGGUGCCUUCGGGAACUGUGAGACAGGUGCUGCAUGGCUGUCGUCAGCUCGUGUUGUGAAAUGUUGGGUUAAGUCCCGCAACGAGCGCAACCCUUAUCCUUUGUUGCCAGCGGUCCGGCCGGGAACUCAAAGGAGACUGCCAGUGAUAAACUGGAGGAAGGUGGGGAUGACGUCAAGUCAUCAUGGCCCUUACGACCAGGGCUACACACGUGCUACAAUGGCGCAUACAAAGAGAAGCGACCUCGCGAGAGCAAGCGGACCUCAUAAAGUGCGUCGUAGUCCGGAUUGGAGUCUGCAACUCGACUCCAUGAAGUCGGAAUCGCUAGUAAUCGUGGAUCAGAAUGCCACGGUGAAUACGUUCCCGGGCCUUGUACACACCGCCCGUCACACCAUGGGAGUGGGUUGCAAAAGAAGUAGGUAGCUUAACCUUCGGGAGGGCGCUUACCACUUUGUGAUUCAUGACUGGGGUGAAGUCGUAACAAGGUAACCGUAGGGGAACCUGCGGUUG
rnacentral:rRNA from 4 species